GACGGGGCCCGCACAAGCGGUGGAGCAUGUGGUUUAAUUCGAUGCAACGCGAAGAACCUUACCUGGGCUUGACAUCUGGGGAAUCUCAUGGAAACAUGGGAGUGCGGAGCAAUCUGAACCCCAAGACAGGUGCUGCAUGGCUGUCGUCAGCUCGUGUCGUGAGAUGUUGGGUUAAGUCCCGCAACGAGCGCAACCCUUGUCUCUAGUUGCCACCAUUCAGUUGGGCACUCUAGAGAGACUGCCGGUGAUAAACCGGAGGAAGGUGGGGACGACGUCAGGUCCUCAUGGCCUUUAUGCCCAGGGCUACACACGUGCUACAAUGGAUCGUACAAAGGGUCGCGAACCCGCGAGGGGGAGCCAAUCCCAAAAACCGGUCCUCAGUUCGGAUUGGAGUCUGCAACUCGACUCCAUGAAGUUGGAAUCGCUAGUAAUCGUGGAUCAGCAUGCCACGGUGAAUACGUUCCCGGGCCUC
rnacentral:rRNA from 1 species